UACGGGGGGAGCAAGCGUUGUUCGGAUUUACUGGGCGUAAAGGGCGCGUAGGCGGCCACUGCAAGUCGGUUGUGAAAUCUCCGGGCUUAACCCGGAAAGGUCAACCGAUACUGCAGGGCUAGAGUGCAGAAGGGGCAACUGGAAUUCUCGGUGUAGCGGUGAAAUGCGUAGAUAUCGAGAGGAACACCUGCGGCGAAGGCGGGUUGCUGGGCUGACACUGACGCUGAUGCGCGAAAGCCAGGGGAGCGAACGGG
rnacentral:rRNA from 1 species